UGGUGUGUUUCCUGCUUGCCUCCCUGUGAGAGGAUAUGGUAGUAAACAAAUUAAAGAGAGUGGGGCCUUCAAGACAAUGCAUAGGCUUGUACUCUUCCAGGGGAAGAUAUUCCGCUUCCGUGCGCUAGCUAGUAAUCCGAUAUUGUUUUUAAUGAACCAACGCCUCUCUUUCCCUUUACUAAAGUCCAACAGCUAACUAGCUCCCAACACUGGCACAUGGUAUACUCCGUG
rnacentral:lncRNA from 1 species